GCCGGGCAUGGUGGCGUACGCCUUUAAUCCCAGCACUCGGGAGGCAGAGGCAGGUGGAUUUCUGAGUUUGAGGCCAGCCUGGUCUACAAAGUGAGUUCCAGGACAGCCAGGGCUAUACAGAAAAACCCUGUCUCAAAAACAAAAACAAAAACAAAAACAAACAAAAACCACGGUUUCCCUAUGUAGCUUUUGUCGUCUUGGAACUCACUCUGUAGAUCCGGCUGGCCUCAAACGCAUAGAUAAUUUCCUGCCUCU
rnacentral:sRNA from 1 species